rnacentral:lncRNA from 1 species
GUUUCCAGAAGUGUGCCCUCAUCGCCACCCUGGGGCUGUGCUGUGGAAGGGCCUUCUCUUCCUGCAGCGUUGCUUCAGGACCCCAGGCUGGUCACGUUGGGCUCCUGUCCCCAUGUCAGCCUCACCCUCUCUUCCUGGCCCUCACCUGGCGGUUUCCUCAGUGGCUUCGGGUUGUCCCUCUGCCCCAGAUGUCCGGUUUCUUCCUUGAAUUUCAGCUCUAGUGUUCUUUCUUCUCCCCACCAUCCUCCAUCUCCCACAUGCCGCUGGCCUUGCUCGGUGUACCAGGGCUUCAGCUGCCUGGAGGGUACAGGCUGGGGCUGGGGCUGGGGCCUGGACGGCUUCUACAGGGAGGUGGGAAUGUAGAAUCUCCUUCAGAGAGUGUACGGCCAUCUCACCACCCGCCAAGGCCAGUCGCUCCUGUUCCCUUUCCUGUAGAGACACACGCUGCACGCCACCUCCUACGUGUGGGGUCUGCACACUCCUAUGUUCGGGAGGCCUGCGUCCCCACACCCGCGACGUGGAGGGGCCUGCGUUCCACACCCACGACGGGGGAAGGCCUGCUCCACACCUGCGCGGGAGGGGCUGCGCUCCACGCCGGGGAGACUCUGCUCCACGCCUGCGCUGUGGAGGGGCCUGCGCCGCCCCCUCCCCCAUGCAGGGGGUUAGAGUCUUUCUCUGCACCUUUCCUCUCCAGGGAAGAGCUGCCGGUGCCUGCAAUGGCGUGGCCAUGGUGACGGCACCACAUUGGAAGGACUCCUAAUAUGGAACCCUGUUAUGCUCCAGUCGUCUGGAAGGAAUGCCACCAUAGCCCCUACCUAUUCCUCCUCCCCUUUUUAUCAGCAAACUAACAUCCCACGCAUUAAGCCUUGGUCCAGGAAUAAUCAGCACAGACCGGAGGUUUCCUUUGAAACUGCGUGUAUGAAACACAGAACUGUAUGUAUCAUUGUAUUGUGUGGCAUGCUGGAAAGAAAGCAAAAGAGUUGCGUAGGUUAAUGUGUGUUCCCGAAUUUCUUCUGCCACCUGCACUCAGUGAGCGGCUGGGGGCCAUCUGUGUUUGUCCGCACCGGCCGUCUCUCCACGUGCCCUCCCCUGGGGAAUCCCAGCCGCCAGUGGCCAGGGAAGUUGGGUCUGGAGGAAGGGACCUCUUGACUUCUCCAGGGGAGGCUCAGAGGCACAGUCCUCGCUGGCGAGCUCCAGGUGGAGGAAGGCAGACGACGCACAGCCAGGCAGCGGGUGUGGACUGAAACCAGCCCGUAAACCCCCACGCCGGCCCCCCACCACAAUUAAUUCAUUAAUGCCGGAAACCACCAUUGCAUUGUUUUCUUGUAAUUAUACACACCUCAAACGCUUGCUUUUGAAGACAUUUAAUUGCAUGAUUAGUUUUAUGAUUUCUGAUUACCAAUUAGGUUACUUUUUGUGUAUUUCAUACAUACCAUUAGGCUUUAUGGUACAGCUUUUGUAAUUUCUCACCUAGCAGGGGUUCUCACACAUUUGAAGGCUACAUUAUCCACUCAAUAAACAGAGAGAGUUUAAUUUUCUGUGUAAAGUAUUGGUGUGGACUUGGGAAGAUGAUGUUUCAGAUAUUAUGCUAUCAAGAGUGACAUUUAAUUUUACAGGGGAAAAGUCUUGGUUUUCACUGUCAUAACGAUGUUCACAGAGCAUGGCUUUAGAGAUGGGAAGAGGCCGGGUCCGAUGGGUCUGUGUCUGUGGCGUGGAUGGAGCUGUCAUCUCCCUUCUCUGAGGAAGAUAUUUCUAAUCACUCUACUCUUUACUCCGACUUGUUAAUAUAUUUAAUUUACUUGCGCCUUGCCUCUUUCCCAAGAAUAGUUAGAAAGCAUUUGGUGCUGUUGGGUUUCCUGUGCAAAGUUCCUUGGAGGUUCCAUGCGCUCUGAUCUGAAAUCACAGGGCUAGGUGUGCACUGUGGCGGAGACAGGGGCACAGGACUCUUAAACAUGCUCUUGUGAGGUCGGAUAAGAAACCAAACACCGCAUGUUCCCACUCAUAGGUGGGAAUUGAACAAUGAGAUCACUUGGACACAGGAAGGGGAAUAUCACACACCGGGGCCUAUUGUGGGGUGAGGGGAGGGGGGAGGGAUAGCAUUAGGAGAGAUACCUAAUGUAAAUGACAAGUUAAUGGGUGCAGCACACCAACAUGGCACAUGUAUACAUAUGUAACAAACCUGCACGUUGUGCACAUGUACCCUAGAACUUAAAGUAUAAUGAAAAAAAAAAUUAAAAAAAAAAGUAAUCCCAGCACUUUGGGAGGCUGAAGUGGGCAGAUCACAAGGUCAGGAGUUCAAGACCAGCCUGACCAACAUGGUGAAACCCUGUCUCUACUAAAAAUACAAAAAUUAGCUGGGCAUGGUGAUGCCUGCCUGUAAUCCCAGCUACUCAGGAGGCUGAGGCUGGAGAAUCACUUGAAUACGGGAGGCAGAAGUUGCGGUGAGCCGAGAUUGUGCCACUGCACUCCAGCCUAGAUGACAGAGCGAGACACUGUCUCAAAAAAAAAAAAAAAAAAAA